GUACGCUGGCGGCAGCCUAACAAUGCAAGUCGAACGGUAACAUUUCUAGCUUGCUAGAAGAUGACGAGUGGCGGACGGGUGAGUAAUGCUUGGGAACUUGCCUUUGCGAGGGGGAUAACAGUUGGAAACGACUGCUAAUACCGCAUAAUGUCUUCGGGCCAAACGGGGCUUAGGCUCCGGCGCAAAGAGAGGCCCAAGUGAGAUUAGCUAGUUGGUAAGGUAACGGCUUACCAAGGCGACGAUCUCUAGCUGUUCUGAGAGGAAGAUCAGCCACACUGGGACUGAGACACGGCCCAGACUCCUACGGGAGGCAGCAGUGGGGAAUAUUGCACAAUGGGGGAAACCCUGAUGCAGCCAUGCCGCGUGUGUGAAGAAGGCCUUCGGGUUGUAAAGCACUUUCAGUUGUGAGGAAAAGUUAGUAGUUAAUACCUGCUAGCCGUGACGUUAACAACAGAAGAAGCACCGGCUAACUCCGUGCCAGCAGCCGCGGUAAUACCGAGGGUGCGAGCGUUAAUCGGAAUUACUGGGCG
rnacentral:rRNA from 1 species